AUUGAACGCUGGCGGCAGGCCUAACACAUGCAAGUCGAGCGAGCGGCGGACGGGUGAGUAAUGUAUGGGGACUGCCCGAUAGAGGGGGAUAACUACUGGAAACGGUAGCUAAUACCGCAUACUAUCGGAUAACCCAUAUGGGAUUAGCUAGUUGGUGGGGUAAAGGCUCCCCAAGGCAACGAUCCGUAGCUGGUUUGAGAGGACGACCAGCACCACUGGGACUUAGACACGGCCCAGACGCCCAGGGAGGCAGCAGUGGGGAAUUUUGGACAAUGGGGGAAACCCUGAUCCAGCCAUCCCGCGUGUAUGAUGAAGGCCUUCGGUUUGUAAAGUACUUUUGGCAUAGAAGCGGUAUCUGCAGAAUACGCACCGGCUAACUACGUGCCAGCAGCCGCGGUAAUUC
rnacentral:rRNA from 1 species